GGAUCGAUGAUGCCACCCCAGACAGCAAUCCUAGGAAAAUCUGAACAAACUGAGUGAGAACUCACUACCGUCUCCUCAUCGCAAACUGAGGUCC
rnacentral:snoRNA from 1 species